rnacentral:tRNA from 1 species
UCCGGCAUAGCUCAGUCGGUAGAGCAGGCGGCUGUUAACCGCCUGGUCGGGGGUUCGAGUCCCUCUGCCGGAGCCA